rnacentral:tRNA from 1 species
UGGGCUGUGGCUCAGUUGGUAGAGUACUUGCUUAGCAUGCAUGAAACCCUGGAUUCGAUCCCCAGUACCACAU